rnacentral:rRNA from 1 species
GACGAACGCUGGCGGCGUGCUUAACACAUGCAAGUCGAACGGAAAGGCCCUGCUUUUGUGGGGUGCUCGAGUGGCGAACGGGUGAGUAACACGUGAGUAACCUGCCCUUGACUUUGGGAUAACUUCAGGAAACUGGGGCUAAUACCGGAUAGGAGCUCCUGCUGCAUGGUGGGGGUUGGAAAGUUUCGGCGGUUGGGGAUGGACUCGCGGCUUAUCAGCUUGUUGGGGGGGUAGUGGCUUACAAAGGCUUUGACGGGUAGCCGGCCUGAGAGGGUGACCGGCCACAUUGGGACUGAGAGACGGACCAGACGCCUACGGGACGCAGCAGUGGGGAAUAUUGCACAAUGGGCGGAAGCCUGAUGCAGCAACGCCGCGUGCGGGAUGACGGCCUUCGGGUGGUAAACCGCUUUCGCCUGUGACGAAGCGUGAGUGACGGUAAUGGGUAAAGAAGCACCGGCUAACUACGUG